UACGGGGGGGGCAAGCGUUGUCCGGAAUUACUGGGCGUAAAGGGCUCGUAGGCGGCCAACUAAGUCAGACGUGAAAUCCCUCGGCUUAACCGGGGAACUGCGUCUGAUACUGGAUGGCUUGAGUUUGGGAGAGGGAUGCGGAAUUCCAGGUGUAGCGGUGAAAUGCGCAGAUAUCUGGAGGAACACCGGUGGCGAAGGCGGCAUCCUGGACCGAUACUGACGCUGAGGAGCGAAAGCCAGGGGAGCAAACAGG
rnacentral:rRNA from 1 species